rnacentral:rRNA from 1 species
GAUCCUGGCUCAGGAUGAACGUUAGCGGGAGGCCUAAUACAUGCAAGUCGAGCGGUAGAGUGACUUCGGUUGCUUGAGAGCGGCGAACGGGUGAGUAACGCGUACACAAUCUACCUUUAAGGGGGGAAUAGCCCUGGGAAACUGGGAUUAAUGCCCCAUGGCAUCACGAAGUGGCAUCGCUUUGUGAUUAAAGCUGAGGUGCUUAGAGAUGAGUGUGCGUCUGAUUAGCUAGUUGGUGCGGUAACGGCGCACCAAGGCGACGAUCAGUAGGGGGCGUGAGAGCGUGGACCCCCACACGGGUACUGAGACACGGACCCGACUCCUACGGGAGGCAGCAGUAAGGAAUAUUGGUCAAUGGAGGAAACUCUGAACCAGCCAUCCCGCGUGCAGGAAGAAUGCCCUAUGGGUUGUAAACUGCUUUUAUCUGGGAAGAAAAGUCGGCAUUUAUGCUGAUCUGACGGUACCAGAGGAAUAAGCACCGGCUAACUCCGUG